rnacentral:lncRNA from 1 species
GUGAUUUCUCAUUCAAAAAUCAAGUACAUACUGAAGCUCAAUCUGAUUUUACAUUUGAUGAACUUCAUGAUGCUUUUUCUGAUUUAUACUUAGAAUAUAAGAAGCUUAGUUUAAAGAAUAAAAAGCUAAAUCAGAAAAAUCUAUCUCUUGCUGAAAGCUAUGAUAUAACUCAGAAAAAUAAUAAAUUACUUUCAGAAGACAAUGAAAGGCUAACUAAAGAAGUUAACAAAUUUAAACCUAUAGUUGAAAAAUUUACUAACAGCUCUGAAAAACUGAACUUAAUGAUAA